GAUCGUCGUCUCCGGUGAGGCGGCUGGACUUCAAAUCCAGUUGGGGCCGCCAGCGGUCCCGGGCAGGUUCGACUCCUGUGAUCGCCA
rnacentral:tRNA from 11 species